GUGAGGAAUAUUGGACAAUGGAUGGAAAUCUGAUCCAGCCAUGCCGCGUGCAGGAAGACGGCCCUAUGGGUUGUAAACUGCUUUUAUACGGGAGCAAUAAGGUCUAUGCAUAGAUUGAUGAGAGUACCGUAUGAAUAAGCAUCGGCUAACUCCGUGCCAGCAGCCGCGGUAAUACGGAGGAUGCGAGCGUUAUCCGGAUUUAUUGGGUUUACAGGGUGCGUAGGCGGCUUUGUAAGUCAGCGGUGAAAUUUUGCAGCUUAACUGUAAAAGCGCAGUUGAUAGUGUGAAGCUAGGAUUUGGUUGCUGUGGGCGGAAUGUGUGGUGUAGCGGUGAAAUGCAUAGAGAUCACACAGAAUAUCGAUUGCGAAGGCAGCUCACAAAGCCAAUAUUGACGCUGAGGCACGAAAGUGUGGGGAUCAAACAGGAUUAGAAACCCGUGUAGUCC
rnacentral:rRNA from 1 species